rnacentral:rRNA from 1 species
UACGAAGGGGGCAAGCGUUGUUCGGAAUUAUUGGGCGUAAAGGGCGCGUAGGCGGCCCGGUAAGUCAAAGGUGAAAUCCCUCGGCUCAACUGAGGAACUGCCUUUGAAACUGUCGGGCUUGAGGCCGGGAGGGGGUAGCGGAAUUCCCAGUGUAGCGGUGAAGUGCGUAGAUACUGGGAGGAACACCAGUGGCGAAGGCGGCUACCUGGACCGGUUCUGACGCUGAUGCGCGAAAGCGUGGGUAGCAAACAGG